rnacentral:lncRNA from 1 species
AACAUUGGAUCUAAUUAUAAAUCCUUCAAUUAGGAGUCUGACUUUUUAAAUUGAUAAUAACUUGUCGUCGAGAAUUUCUAAAUUUUGUGCUUCAGAUUCAGUUUUGAAGACGCCGCCAACAGCACUUAGCCUCGCACCCUAACCGGGGCCAACUCCGGCGAUCCACGGCGGAGCUCUACCACGAGAUUCUUUAAUCGCCUAACAAAUUUAUAUAUAUGCGUGUCAUCUCUGGAUCCACGGCGGGUCAUCUCUGGAUCCACGGUAGAGAACGGGGAAGACGGCGACGGGGUGGAGCGGGGUUUGUAGUGGCGAUGCCGUCAUCUUCCACUCUGGUGAGGAAUUGAAUGUCGUCGGUGCAGGAAAUGAAGCUAUGGCUACAGUUGAAAAUUUCCUAGACAACAAUUUGAUAAUGAGGAAUUGGCCGUCAAUCGUUGCCCAUUUGCCUGUUUUGAAUAUUUCUGAUUGCAAU